AUUUUUAGUGGUAUACUUCCAUAGUUCCAUGGAGAAAAAAAUGUGUGAUACAGAAUUACAGAUCGUAUCAAUGGACUAAAAUGCUUUUUAGUAAUAAACAAAUUGUUCGAUAUUAAAUUGUAAUACACCUUCGCAUGGAUUAUACUUCCAUCUUUUGAAAAGAGUGAACCAGAUGUUCUACCUUUUUUAAGUUGAAAAUCUAUCUCUCAUUUUAGUUAAUACGAGAGUGAUACAUUAAACAACAUAAAAUUUGUCUGACAAAUUUCAUUUUAUUAACCUAUUAUUUUACCGUUUAGUUAUUUGUAUUAUAUGUCAAGCUGGUUAAGUACACCUUGGCAAAAAAAAAGCUGGUUAAGUACAGUUAGAAUAUCUAGAUAACUGAAUCUUAUCCGAAUUCAUUGUAUAAACCUAUAGUUGCUGGAUUCAGUUAACUAUAUCCAUAUAUCCAGAACCGUUCUGAUUGGUGGCUGUACUUUAGAUCAUUUACUAUUUUAGAUUAAUACUUUUAGAAUGAAUGGCCAAUUUUAUGAUGGCAUUUGCCUACGAAUACGAUGUACGAUAGAUUUAUUAGAUAAGGAACACCAAAUUAUUUCCAAGCAUUAUUGGAAAAAACACAAUCAUAGGAAAAGUUAUAUAAACGUUGGGAAAAAAACGUUGAUGUUACGUUAAAAAUGGAAACGGUAAGGAAAGUGGAUAAUAACAUUGUUUUGUAUCGAGGCAAAAACGUGGAUAUGUUAAAUUCCACGUCAAGUGAAGUUGUCAAUGAUGACGGUGUCAUUUUUAUAGUAUUAUUUUUUCACUCGGUGUGAUUUCAAAACAACAAAUUGGUUCAGACAACUUGACACGUGUUGAAAUAUGGGAGGUUUAAAAUAUGGACGCUGAGUCAGGUCCAUGCAACUAUGUUUCCUCAGAUUCUGCAGUACUUUCAAGCUACGACCCUUUCAUCAUGUGGUUUCUAUCAUUUCUUUGGUUUUCUAAAUUUUAUUUUUGCAUCUAGUAGUUUAUUAAUUUUUUCUUUAGUUUUUGUAGUUAAACACUUCAUAGUUUAUAAUAGCCAUAGAGCAAAUCAGAACUAUUUAUUUGUUAAACGUUACCGGCUACAAACUGAAGUCAGAAACAUAACAUGAUAGAAACAGGCUACGUAGAUACUUUUCCUCUCAGACAACUCAUUCCACGCUGCAACAAGCUUCCUUCAAGGCUGGAAGAUGCUAUUGAGAAUGUGAAAUCGCUACAAAAGCAAAUACAUGCAGAAUUGAAAGACUCGAGCUUUACUUACAUCAUUGUGAGACCAACGGCUUUCUUCUAGAGCUUAGGUGGUCAAGUCGAGAUUGCGUGUUCGGAGAUGGUAAGCUGUGCUCUUGUAAACCCACCAGCGAGCAGGAUUUAGCGUCAGUUAUAGCGGAUUGUGUGUUGGAAGAGAACGAUAAAUCCAGGGAAUGCGUUGACCCCGUUGGAGCAAGGAGAGAUCCUGUUUAUGAUUCUAGGCAGUGAGCCUAAGUUCUUGAAAGUUCCUAUCGAGAUAAUGGACUUCGUGAUAGGAGUUCUUGAUUCUGUCGCAAAGAUCUUUCCUGCGGUUGGUGAGGCUGCUGAAUUUGGGAAGAUAGGUAUUACGUCGCACAGAGUAUGCUGAUUCGUGAUCCAGAGACUGAAUAGUAUAGCGACAAAAAGACGCUUAGUUACGUGAAACACACGCUUGAGGACUUCUUUAAGAAAGCUAGCAGAGAAGGAAUGGCUGGUCAAGAGCUUGGUGAACAGUUCUAAAUUGGAAAGUUUUAUGCAAAAUGUAGUGUGUACUGAUGACUAUAAGAGAGAAGAAUCUGUGAAUCUGAGAGAUCUGUUGAAUGAAACAACAAUAGAAAACACACAUUGCAUAUCACAGGUAAUUUUCCUGGAUCAAAAAUAUUUAGAGAGUAUAUUAUACAUAAUCCUGGCUUUUACCACACCCAAAUAUAAAUGGUUCGACCAUAUAGGAACCAACAACAAAUAGAAUCAUGAAGAAGACAGAUAUGUGUUUUGUUUUGCUUUUGCGACCAAUAAUCAUAUUGAUCAACUUUUCUAUGUUUUCUUGCUAUAACCGAUCAUCAAGAAAGUUUUUUUGCAACAAAAAGUUCAUGCUUGCUUUCUGGUAGAUGGCAACAAGUGAAAGAGA